rnacentral:rRNA from 1 species
UACGUAGGGUGCGAGCGUUACUCGGAAUUACUGGGCGUAAAGCGUGCGCAGGCGGUUAGUUAAGUCUGAUGUGAAAGCCCCGGGCUCAACCUGGGAAUGGCAUUGGAAACUGGCUUGCUGGAGUAUGGCAGAGGGGGGUGGAAUUCCGCGUGUAGCAGUGAAAUGCGUAGAGAUGCGGAGGAACACCGAUGGCGAAGGCAGCCCCCUGGGCCAAUACUGACGCUCAGGCACGAAAGCGUGGGGAGCAAACAGG